CCUACGGGUGGCAGCAGUGAGGAAUAUUGGUCAAUGGGCGCAAGCCUGAACCAGCCAAGUCGCGUGAGGGAUGACUGCCCUACGGAUUGUAAACUUCUUUUAUGAGGGAAUAAAGUGAGGCACGUGUGCCUUUUUGUAUGUACUUUAUGAAUAAGGAUCGGCUAACUCCGUUCCAGCAGCCGCGGUAAUACGUAGGUGGCAAGCGUUGUCCGGAUUUAUUGGGUGUAAAGGGCGUGCAGCCGGGAUGAAAAGUCAGAGGUGAAAUCCCGCGGCUCAACCGCGGAACUGCAGUUGAAACUGGGGGGCUGGAGUAGCGGAGAGGUAAGCGGAAUUCCUGGUGUAGCGGUGAAAUGCGUAGAUAUAAGGAAGAACACCAGUGGCGAAGGCGGAUGACUGGACGGUAACUGACGGUGAGGCGCGAAAGCGUGGGGAGCAAACAGGAUUAGAUACCCGGGUAGUC
rnacentral:rRNA from 1 species